CGGACAUUCUUCAGUCUUGUUUAUGGUCUGUGAAAACAAUGGAGGAGGAGUGGUCAUUACACCAAAGCAACUCUGAAAUCCCCUUCUGUGACCUUUUCCGGAUACUGAAUACAGCUCCCUGUGCUAUCCAGUAGUAACUUGUCGUGUAUCCAGUCCCAUGAAUAAGAGCUUACAUCAGCAGCAGUGUAUUGUGUGUUAUCAAACAGAGCUCACCAAGUGUAUCCACACGAGCCGAAGGCUUAUUACUGAAGACAGGGGGAGUCAAGAUGGCGGAGGAUUAGGAGGAUGUGGAGUACAACUUUCCUCAGCUCAUCAAGAAUACAUCUCCAAAUGGGAGAAGUCUCGCAGAGCACCUGCUGAACGCUAGCAGAAGACCUCAGACACUGAGUCAGG